rnacentral:rRNA from 1 species
UACGAAGGGGGCUAGCGUUGUUCGGAAUUACUGGGCGUAAAGCGCGUGUAGGCGGGUCUUUAAGUCAGGGGUGAAAUGCCAAGGCUCAACCUUGGAACUGCCUUUGAUACUGGAGACCUUGAGUCCGGGAGAGGUGAGUGGAAUUGCGAGUGUAGAGGUGAAAUUCGUAGAUAUUCGCAAGAACACCAGUGGCGAAGGCGGCUCACUGGCCCGGAACUGACGCUGAGACGCGAAAGCGUGGGGAGCAAACAGGAUUGAGAUAC